GGAUCAUUAGCUCAGUUGGCAGAGCACCUGACUCUUAAUCAGGGGGUCGCAGGUUCGAGGCCUGCAUGAUCCA
rnacentral:tRNA from 1 species